CUCUCUCUCUCUCUCCCCUCCCCCACCUUUCUCUGUGUAUCUAUCUCUCUAAACCAGGUCUUCACGCAUGCUAGACAAGUAUUCAUCCAUGAGUUACGGUGCUGAUGCUAAGGUCCUGUUCCCCGAUUGGUUCUUGAUCUGUCAGUAAAGAAAGUCAUGGGCCAAUUGCUGUGUAGAAGGGACGGGUGGGACUUCUGGGUUCCUGGAAGAGGCAAGGAGGUCAAAGGAAGGAGAAUGGAGUUGCCGUGCUUGGAGAGAAGAGAACCGGGCUGCCAUGUGAGAUCUCAAAAUGAUGUAACUCUGAGGGACCCACUCCUCGUCACCUACUUUUGCCAGUGAAGUUCCUCCUAAAGAUGCCACAGCCUUCACAAGAGCCCAACAAGCUAAAGACUAAAGCAAGAGCUGAUGGGAGACGUUCCAGAUUUUUGCCACAUGCCUAAGCAACUUUCUGGGAAGGGAUGGGCAUGUUGAACAGGAACAAACAGGGGACAGUGAACUGGUCCCAGGGCAGUAAGUUCAGGACACCAGCGCUGAACUUACAGCAGGAGGAAACCACUAACUAAUGCCAAAGAACAUAUUCAGAUAAACUCCUGGCAUUUGUUUAAAAUCUUGGAAACCAAGCUAAAUUGCCUUCCCAAUGGUGUCAGUAAGCGGGACCAUAGGCGGGAUGGGGUAUGCCAAUGCCUUCCUUGUGGCUUGUCUUUGGCUGCUCUAAGAGGAGCAGCCGUGUACACAAGCUGGAAAUCAGCAGCUGUGGAAUGCCAGGGCCACCAACUCCUCAUCUAGUGCUCAGUACCUGCCCAAGGUUUAUCACACACGGUGCUUUGUGUGAGUUGCACGGUGAGCCCUCAGUUAAGAUGAGAACAAAUAUGCCAAGUGUGAUGAUUCAUGCUUGUAAUCUCAGAAUACAAGAGGCCAAGACAGGAGGAUUGCCAAGAGCUGAUUCUAGCCAGGGCUACACAGUAAAAUCCUGUCAAAAAAAACACCAAACAAAACCAAAAAACAGAAACCAAGAAGAUGAAAACAAGAUGGGAGGAAUUUGGUUUUGCUUUGUCAAGGGACAAAAUCGCAAUCUUAACUGGCUUUAUUUUCAAUUUCAGAAUCUGGCAAUAUUUUUCAUUGCAUGAGAGUAAGUAUUCCAAUAAGCCAGGCUGAGGGGGUUGGUUUCGUAGACACAAAACUGCUGAAGAAAACAAAAACAACCCCCAAAGUAUAGGUCAUUUCCAAGUUGUGUUUUCUGUACAGCGGGGACAGACAGAGAGAUAGAAAAGCAAUUGGUUGACAAGAGGCUCUUCCGACCGGUGGACGGAUUAAAGCAGGAGCUGCUUAAUUUCACAGUACUUAUAACUGGCUCGUACACAAUGUUUGAGCGUGGUGUGUCCAAUCUUGAUUUCUCAGGUCAGAUAAAAAGCUUAGUUUCAAUUUCA
rnacentral:sRNA from 1 species